UACGUAGGGUGCAAGCGUUAAUCGGAAUUACUGGGCGUAAAGCGUGCGCAGGCGGUCUUGCAAGACAGGUGUGAAAUCCCCGGGCUUAACCUGGGAACUGCACUUGUGACUGCAAGGCUGGAGUACGGCAGGAGGGGGAUGGAAUUCCGCGGUGUAGCAGUGAAAUGCGUAGAUAUGCGGAGGAACACCGAUGGCGAAGGCAAUCCCCUGGGCCUGUACUGACGCUCAUGCACGAAAGCGUGGGGAGCAAACAGG
rnacentral:rRNA from 1 species